AGAACGAACGCUGACGGCAUGCCUAAUACAUGCAAGUCGAACGAACUCUUCGGAGUUAGUGGCGCACGGGUGCGUAACGCGUGGGAAUCUGCCCUUGGGUUCGGAAUAACAGUUGGAAACGACUACUAAUACCGGAUGAUGACGAAAGUCCAAAGAUUUAUCGCCAGGGAUGAGCCCGCGUAGGAUUAGCUAGUUGGUGAGGUAAAGGCUCACCAAGGCGACGAUCCUUAGCUGGUCUGAGAGAUGAUCAGCCACACUGGGACUGAGACACGGCCCAGACU
rnacentral:rRNA from 1 species